rnacentral:rRNA from 1 species
UACGGAGGGGGCUAGCGUUGUUCGGAAUUACUGGGCGUAAAGCGCGCGUAGGCGGACCUGCAAGUCGGGGGUGAAAGCCCGAGGCUCAACCUCGAGACGUCGAUGGAAACCAUCUAGCUAGAGUCCGGAAGAGGAGAGUGGAAUUCCUGGUGUAGCGGUGAAAUGCGCAGAUAUCAGGAAGAACACCCGUGGCGAAGGCGGCUCUCUGGUACGUGACUGACGCUGAGACGCGAAAGCGUGGGGAGCGAACAGG